rnacentral:lncRNA from 1 species
UGUUAUUCUAUUUAAUUACAGCUGCAUAGCUCCGAAAUUGUUCAAUAUAAAACCGUGGUAAUGUUACACAAUGUGCUGUUAUGCAACCAUAAGUUUGUUACAAUGUGGACAAUUUAAAGAUUUAUGGUAACAAGUUUCACCGAGCUCGCUAACUAGGGUACCUAUUGUAACUUGUGAGUACUUGGGACAGUGUUUGAGUGAGUGUCCAUGUGCUUGCGCAGGUGCCUGAGAGCUGUGACUGCGCCAAGGGCUAAAAUAUUGUGUGUUGUUUCUUCGUAUGCAGGUAUGUCUUUUAUUUUGUCCGAAUUAUGUUCUGUAUCAUUUUACUUGUAUUGUAUGCUGUUGUGCACUGAAUGUGUGCACGCAGCACCUGUUAAUUCUUUUUGACGCUCUCUUUUGCCUGACCUUCAGCUAGCAAGUUGCCUGAGAGCUGUGACUGCGCCAAGGGCUAAAAUAUUGUGUGUUGUUUCUUCGUGUGCGGGGCAAAUAAAAAUUAUUCAACCAGCAGACCUCCAGUUGUGGCAGUGUCCUAAUUAAAAAGUACACAACGCAGAACGAACCACGCUACACCAACAUACAGACUCUGGACACCUAAAUAAAUGGACUUAACAAAGGACCAACAAAAAAGACAUGCUUGGGUCUCCUGAGUGGUGCAGCGGACUAAGGCACUGCAUCUCAGUGCUCAAGGCAUCACUACAGACCCUGGUUCGUUUCCAGGCUGUAUCACAACCGGCCGUGAUUGGGAGUCCCAUAGGGCAGCGCACAAUUGACCCAGCGUCGUCCGGGUUAGGGUUUGUCGUCAUUGUAAAUAAGAAUGUUCUUAACUGACUUGCCUAGUUAAAUAAAGGUUAAAUAAAAAAAUUGAUAAAAAACAUGCAAACAAAAGACGACGUGUCUAACUUGCACCGUUAUGCAAUUAUUAGGAGACGAGAUGCACUGCUGCUGCUACAUUGACCCCCCCCCCCCCCCUCCAUUUGUUUUGUACAAUGCUGUUUAUUAUCUAUGUAUAGU